GACGAACGCUGGCGGCGUGCCUAAUACAUGCAAGUUGAGCGCUGAAGGUUGGUACUUGUACCGACUGGAUGAGCAGCGAACGGGUGAGUAACGCGUGGGGAAUCUGCCUUUGAGCGGGGGACAACAUUUGGAAACGAAUGCUAAUACCGCAUAAAAACUUUAAACACAAGUUUUAAAGUUUGAAAGAUGCAAUUGCAUCACUCAAAGAUGAUCCCGCGUUGUAUUAGCUAGUUGGUGAGGUAAAGGCUCACCAAAGGCGAUGAUACAUAGCCGACCUGAGAGGGUGAUCGGCCACAUUGGGACUGAGACACGGCCCAAAACUCCUACGGGAGGCAGCAGUAGGGAAAUCUUCGGCAAUGGACGAAAGUCUGACCGAGCAACGCCACGUGAGUGAAGAAGGUUUUCGGAUCGUAAAACUCUGUUGGUAGAGAAGAACGUUGGUGAGAGUGGAAAGCUCAUCAAGUGACGGUAACUACCC
rnacentral:rRNA from 1 species